GACGAACGCUGGCGGCGUGCCUAAUACAUGCAAGUAGAACGCUGAAGGAGGAGCUUGCUUCUCUGGAUGAGUUGCGAACGGGUGAGUAACGCGUAGGUAACCUGCCUGGUAGCGGGGGAUAACUAUUGGAAACGAUAGCUAAUACCGCAUAAGAGUAGAUGUUGCAUGACAUUUGCUUAAAAGGUGCAAUUGCAUCACUACCAGAUGGACCUGCGUUGUAUUAGCUAGUUGGUGGGGUAACGGCUUACCAAGGCGACGAUACAUAGCCGACCUGGGAGGGGGGUCGGCCACACUGGGACUGGGACACGGCCCAGACUCCUACGGGGGGCAGCAGUAGGGAAUCUUCGGCAAUGGACGGAAGUCUGACCGAGCAACGCCGCGUGAGUGAAGAAGGGUUUCGGAUCGUAAAGCUCUGUUGUAAGAGAAGAACGAGUGUGAGAGUGGAAAGUUCACACUGUGACGGUAUCUUACCAGAAAGGGACGGCUAACUACGUG
rnacentral:rRNA from 1 species